rnacentral:siRNA from 1 species
UGAUCCGUCCACUGCUGUAAG